UACGUAGGUCCCAAGCGUUAUCCGGAUUUAUUGGGCUUAAAGGGUGCGUAGGCGGGCUAUUAAGUCAGUGGUGAAAGCCCCAAGCUUAACUUGGGAACUGCCAUUGAUACUGAUGGUCUUGAGUACAUUUGAGGUGGGCGGAAUGUGUCAUGUAGCGGUGGAAUGCUUAGAUAUGACACAGAACACCGAUUGCGAAGGCAGCUCACUAAACUGUAACUGACGCUGAGGCACGAAAGCGUGGGGAGCAAACAGG
rnacentral:rRNA from 1 species